rnacentral:rRNA from 1 species
GGAAACCUUGUUACGACUUUUACUUCCUCUAAAUGACCGAGUUUGACGAACUUUCCGGCUCGAAGUGGUCGUUGCCAACCUCUUCGAGCCAGUCCGAAGGCCUCACUGAGCCAUUCAAUCGGUAGUAGCGAC